UUAGAAGAGCAGGAAUUGAACCUGCGCCUGAGAAAUCAAAAUUCUCCGUAAU
rnacentral:tRNA from 1 species